UGCUUGCUCCAUUCAGUAGUUAUUAUAUUCAAUCUCAAGUAGGCCAGCAUUUUAGCCACCAGUCAAGAGAUUUCUAUAAAGUUUGCGAGGUGCAGAAAUCCUUGGCAUGUAUUUUAUUGGGUGCUUUAAAUGUACUAUAUAAAGCAUUAGUGUGGAGAAAUUAUAAAAAUUAUAACACUCUAACCAUUUCAUUUUUAAAAUGAGUUAUCUGUAUAUUAAGUGCUGAUGGUGUAAGUUAAAAGCACAUAGGGAGAGCUUAAAUACAUGAGUGGGGCACAAAAUGCAUGCUCAUUUUCCAUUUUUCUCUGGCCACUUUCAGGUAUAAUACAUAUCAUUUAACUGCCUAAUCCAUUAACAAGGAUGGUUUCUCACCUGCAUGUGCCUAAAUGGAAGUCUAGAAAUAUCCCGGUUCAAGACUGCAGCGGGUGAAUAUAUCCAGAAAACUUAUAAGACGAAAACUGCACAAGUUACUGGGUGUCUGAAGAUGUCAGGAGGCAACAUGGAAUUUUUAAUGUGCUGGAAUGUAAAAGAACCACUUGCUGAGAGGAAAAGAACUGGAACUCGGCUAUUCAGAAAUAAACUGUGAAGAAAAGUGACCAAAAGCUAUGACACAAAAGAGGCACUAAUUUCUAAACGACAAAUCCUAAGACGUAUUGCUCUAGACCAAUCCUCUGUCAGAACAAGAUUAAAUGGAUAACCCAUUUGGUCUUUUCCAUCUCUAGCUCCUUUUUAUUUCCACUUCCAUUAUUCUAUGAAUAUACAAGAAAGGGAAAUAUAAUAUUGUUAAAGCUCAGGCAUGAUUUAUUGACUCACUGUAUCUUUAAGAUAGCACAUGUACUUUGUGUUGUUAUAUUUGAUAGCACAUUUUUUCAUGAAUAAUUGUGAAUAGAGUAAACAAACUCAUAAAGCCUGUUUAAAGUGUCAGUGCAUAAGUUACUGCCAGUGGUGUCUUGGGGCUGCAUUAACUUAUACGUGUAAUUUUUCUUCUUUCCUCUUCCUUCUCUCCUCCCCUUUUUAAUUAAUAGAUUUUCUCACUCAUGAGCAUUUAGCAUCGCCUUGUUUGCCUGAUGCAGUUCCCUUUGGGGUUUCGCCUGUGGAUGAGGCAGAAGAACUUGGGGGAAACAGCUUGAUGAAUCACAGUUUGUUGAAGGCCAUUAUGGUAGUAGUGAUAGAGAAAUUGAAUAUUUGCAAAAUGCCAGAGGUGAAGGAAUAGGACACACAUGAUUAAAAUUGCCAUAAAAUCAAAGCUGUCAAAGCAACAAAAGCCAUAAAAAAGAAAUAUUCUGGCAACGUCAGUCUCCCACACAUCCAGGGGAAGCGUGUUGCUGAAGAAGUCCAUUAGGAGUAGAGGAGGAUUUUUUUUCCCAUUGACUAUGAAAGCAUGCACUGAACUAUAAAUGUUCUCUGCCCUAGGAAUUUUAGCUGAGACACCUGGGGACUGCAACCUUAAAACAUCAUUCAGAAUACAGAUCCUCUCAGCACUGUUGGAAAGGGCUGAAGAAAGGGCAACGCAGUGUGCAGAGGUGUGGGGCAAAGGGGCAGGGUAAGGUAGGAAGAGUAAUUGAGGUAGAAGAUGUGAAGGCUGCGGCUGACUUUGGAUGAGGAAUCUUGUAGUGAAAAGUACCUGUGUUGUCCUUUCCUAAAGACAGUAUUACCAAGGAGCUGGAAGUAUGGAAAAAGCCCUCAUUUCCUCCCCAGAAUUCAUGACUACAGGGCAGGUGGAAUCUGCUGAGUGAUACGUGAAAUGUGUAUUAAGAGAACAAAAUGAUCAUUCUUCCCACCUGAAGAGAUCCAGGUACUUUGGUAGAAGUGGUUGUUUAGAAAGAGAGAAAACAAUUUGUUAAGCUCAUAAAGUAAUCUAUCUAGGGAGGUACCAGGAAAGGGCUACAGUGAUUACUCUUGGCCCCCUCAAUGGAAGAUUCCUGAUUUGAAGGUAGACGCUUAGGAUUCAACACAAGUUCUGAAAAUGAGGAGAGGAUUUGAGUGGGAGAUCAGAGAAAACUAAAGGGUUCCAAAAGAACAAAUUUGCAAUUUGAUUUAAACGGAAACAAACCAUCUUAUAGCUACCUGCUUGGAAAAAAAUAUUACACUUCUUGUUUUCUGUCAGGCUUACUGUGGCAUCAUUUAAAAUACUUCUGUAAUCCGUGGGUGCUUGCCAAAUUUAGUUGCACUCAAACAACCUUCUGAUACCAUGAAUCCAUGACCAACUUUUAAUGAGGAGUCCAGUUUUUUAUUUUUAUUUUUAUUUUUUCCAGCAAGCUUUUUCUGAAUCUCCAGUAGCAGCUGUGAUGAGGCAGUGAGACAGUGAAGAGACAAAGCUGGUGCAAU
ensembl:lncRNA